CCUGAUGAGGACCGUGUGAGAGAACAUGAAAUCUUGUGGAAACAUGAAACCUCGAGCGAAGCUCAAGGUUUGGUAACUGUAACUGUAGUUACCAUUUCCUGCUGGAAACUACAGUAACUACAGUGGAGCGGUAACCAAACGGUUCAGACAUCUGCAAUUCAUUCCCGUAGUGACAUUUAUUAAUACAUUCACAAACGCACAUUGAAGCAAUAUGACGGAGUUGCAUUAGAACGAAUUGCAGUGGUGUACAUACUUCUGCCAAUUCGCUAGUGCGCUAAUAUUGGAGCUAAUUUUUUGUUUAGCGCUUUGGCAUUUUUUUUCUAGCAAUGAAAACGUUUGGCACACCCGGCUUCCCCUAAAUUCAUUUUUCCAGAUUAAUUCUAAAGCACCAAUUUACUUGCCAGUUAAAGUUCUACGUCUGUAUUGAAGUUUUUGUUAUCGACUUUAAAGAAUUCUUCAAGUAGACGUCUCCGUUCAUGCUCUUAUUUUGAAGUGUGCAGGCUGUUUAUGCAGCUUCCUGUCCUCGUGUUCUCCCUUGUUUCACUUCAAUAACGUUUCAUAGAAACGUACAGGAACAACAUAAAACACAGACAGCUGAACAAGUUGGAAGCAUAAAUACAGCAUCUAUGGGUCUCAUAUAACGUGAAUUAUGUCAAAAUGAAAUCGGCGACAGCGUUGGAGUCUUUCACGGGCAGGUGUAGUUUGCG